AUUUGAUUGCCUCAAUUCAAAAGUAAUCAAAUUUGAAUAUUGAAAUCGUUCAAAUUGUUAUAUGAUUUGAUCAUAAGGUUGGGAAUUGGUCAAAUGAUGAAACCGUAGGCAACGAUGCAAUUUAUAAUUAUUUUCUUUUAUGUUGCCAAGAUGGUGUGACGGUUCAGUGUUUAUUUCAGUGUUUAUUUUCUUCAUCAUCACACACAUACUAAUACGAGAGUAGUUCAAUUGAAGAACGUGUAUAUAUGUCCAUACAUAUCUGAUUUACUCUUAUUCGUGCCAACUACAUCCCGGCGACUGAUGGUAGUUGUUUCCCAAACGUAAACAACGUCAGUACCAAAGAUAAGUCCGAAAUGCUUCCAACGCAAAUUGCUCUUCGUUCGAGAUACGUAACUCGCUUGGUAAAAGCCAACUUUUGCUCAGAUGCUUUAAUGGUUCAACAUGACCAUCAAAACUCCGAGUUUGCAGUGCAUUUACACGACAGUAAGGCAUUCGUAAGUUAUACAUAUGACCAGCGAAAAAACCGAAUAUCUAUCGAUCAUACAGAGGUUCCGUCCGUCUUCCAAGGAAAAGGUGUUGGCAAAAAGCUGGUUGAAGCUGCUCUUCAACACGCAAUUAAGGAAAACAUGAAAAUAACUUUUGUUUGCGAAUUCGCUCAGAAAUACUACAAUGAUAAUAAAGGCCGCUUCAAAGAUUUAGCUUAGCAUUAUCCUCUGGAUAUGAAAAGGUUAAUCGCUUCAUGUAUAGAAAAUAAAAUGAUUGUUUUGUUAAUGCUCACUAAAGAAUAACAAUAAACUUGGAAUGUGUCAAUAAA